rnacentral:rRNA from 1 species
UACGUAGGGUGCGAGCGUUAAUCGGAAUUACUGGGCGUAAAGCGCACGUAGGCGGCUUUGUAAGUUAGAGGUGAAAGCCCGGGGCUCAACUCCGGAAUUGCCUUUAAAACUGCAUCGCUCGAAUUGUGGAGAGGUAAGUGGAAUUCCGAGUGUAGAGGUGAAAUUCGUAGAUAUUCGGAAGAACACCAGUGGCGAAGGCGACUUACUGGACACAUAUUGACGCUGAGGUGCGAAAGCGUGGGGAGCAAACAGG